rnacentral:misc_RNA from 1 species
UUCUGGAGAUUCUUUAGAAGGCAGCUGAGCACCAGGUUCUGGAGACUCUUUUGAAGAAGGCUGUAUUUCAUCUUUAGAAUCAUUUAGAGUUAUGACAGGCAAUUGCACAUUGUCUGAAUGGCAGGAACUCGCUGAAACUGAUCCAGACUCUGAAGGAUGACCACCAACACCACUAGGCUUUACACAACUUGUCGAACCCUGAAUGCUUCUGGCAUCUAGUGACUCUUGUGAAGAAGGCUCAAUAAUGUUUCCAGACGAAGUCUUGGCCAAAACAGGAAUUCUUCUGGAAACAGAAUCUGUAACAGGACUAGGAAGCAUUUGUGUACUUACACCAGAAUCAAAACUCACACCAUCAGGAUUUGCAGAAAUUGUUGGGCUUUCUAUGCCAAUUACACAAGGAAGUGGUGCUUUUGCUGAAACCUCUGUUUUCUUCAUUGAAUUGUUAUCACAAAUCUCCAUUGGAGAAGAUAGAGUCGCUGUGGAAAAAUCACCAGCAUCAGCAGCCCCCACCAAAAUCUUGGGAUGCUCAAGGCUGCCAACAUCAAGGGGAGAAGAUUUUGGUAGCUCAUUUGAAGAUGGAACUUUUUCAUUUCCUAAUUCAUCCUGUGUCAUCCCAGAAGGCUCUUCCGGGCCUUGAGAUGAAAGUGUUGAAUCAACCUCAUUCCCAGAGGACACUGGACUAGGACCAGGGAGUUCAUGAGGAGCAGGUCUAGAAGAUGAAACAAUCUCCUUUUCACCGAUGCUAACUGGAACAGUACAAGCGACCUCCUUAUUGACACCUGCAAUCGAGUUUUUCUGAGAAACCUGUCCUGAAUCUACUACAUUUUCUGUAAGUUUUGGCUUACCCAAAGCAGGUGCAUGGCCCUCUUCCACCAUGACACCAACUCCAGGGUCAGACUGUCUACAACUGUCAACUGAAAUCCCCGAAACCGUAGUUUCAGCAUCCGAAGUUGGCACAGUUGACAGGAUUUUUUCCUCUGCGCUUUGGCUUUUUGGAACCUCCAUAGGAGUCUGUCUUACUACAGGUACAAUUGGGGCAUUUUUACAUUCAAUCCUAGAAGACUCUCCCAUUUUAUUUUUUGAUGAGCAAGUUUCAGAGAAAAUCUCCUUCAUCACACGAGCAACAUCAGUAAUAGCAGCAGUCUGAAUUCGGUCAAAACCAGGAAUUCCACUAGUCUCUUUUCUUUUUGGAUCUAGGCCAACUAAACCACUGGAUAAAUGUGCCUCCUGAGUGAUAUUUGCGGGUUCAUUAAGAUCACCCUCUUGUUUACUUCUCAAGUUCAUCACCUUACUCCCUGAUGAAUCCCUUGAUUUAUUCUGUGAUUGUGGAUUCACUUUCUGAUCCUGAACAACCAAAGCAUCAGCAGCAGGUGAAACUGGACCCUGCUUCCUUCCCCUACGCCUAGGUGUUUCUGCUCUAUUUGGAGCCUUUCGACCUUGCCUUUUAACAAGCAUGGAUUCGGAAGGGAUAGAUUGUGAGGCUGGAGAGAGAGAAGGAUAAGAUGCAGUAGGCUGAGAAUCGGAAGCAAUCUUUACAGCAACCUGAUGAACAGAUUUUCCAAUAGCUUCUACAGCAGCAGAACUUGGAGAUGACUCAGUUGGAUGGCCAACAACAGAGGAUACUUUGUCUUCAGAGCUUUGGCUUUGAGCCACCUCCAUAAAUGUUUU